CAGUAGCCACGGGAAUACGAAGGGGGCUAGCGUUGUUCGGAAUUACUGGGCGUAAAGGGCGCGUAGGCGGCCAUUCAAGUUAGAUGUGAAAGCCCUGGGCUCAACCUAGGAAUUGCAUUUGAUACUGUUUGGCUUGAGUUCGGGAGAGGUGAGUGGAAUUCCCAGUGUAGAGGUGAAAUUCGUAGAUAUUCGGAAGAACACCAGUGACGAAGGCGGCUUACUGGCUCAUACUGGACGCUGAGGUGCGAAAGCGUGGGGAGCAAACAGGAUUAGAUACCCCUGUAGUCCCUGUCUCUUAUAU
rnacentral:rRNA from 1 species